UGGGGGAUAGCCCGGCGAAAGCCGGAUUAAUACCGCAUACGCUCUACGGAGGAAAGGGGGGGAUCUCAGGACCUCCCGCUACAGGGGCGGCCGAUGGCAGAUUAGCUAGUUGGUGGGGUAAAGGCCUACCAAGGCGACGAUCUGUAGCUGGUCUGAGAGGACGACCAGCCACACUGGGACUGAGACACGGCCCAGACUCCUACGGGAGGCAGCAGUGGGGAAUUUUGGACAAUGGGCGAAAGCCUGAUCCAGCAAUGCCGCGUGUGUGAAGAAGGCCUUCGGGUUGUAAAGCACUUUUGUCCGGAAAGAAAACCUCCGCCCCUAAUAUGGUGGGGGGAUGACGGUACCGGAAGAAUAAGCACCGGCUAACUACGUGCCAGCAGCCGCGGUAAUACGUAGGGUGCAAGCGUUAAUCGGAAUUACUGGGCGUAAAGCGUGCGCAGGCGGUCCGCUAAGACAGAUGUGAAAUCCCCGGGCUUAACCUGGGAACUGCAUUUGUGACUGGCGGGCUAGAGUAUGGCAGAGGGGGGUAGAAUUCCACGUGUAGCAGUGAAAUGCGUA
rnacentral:rRNA from 1 species